rnacentral:rRNA from 1 species
GAUGAACGCUGGCGGCGUGCCUAAUACAUGCAAGUCGAGCGAACAGACGAGGAGCUUGCUCCUCUGACGUUAGCGGCGGACGGGUGAGUAACACGUGGAUAACCUACCUAUAAGACUGGGAUAACUUCGGGAAACCGGAGCUAAUACCGGAUAAUAUAUUGAACCGCAUGGUUCAAUAGUGAAAGACGGUUUUGCUGUCACUUAUAGAUGGAUCCGCGCCGCAUUAGCUAGUUGGUAAGGUAACGGCUUACCAAGGCAACGAUGCGUAGCCGACCUGAGAGGGUGAUAGGCCACACUGGAACUGAGACACGGUCCAGACGCCUACGGGAGGCAGCAGUAGGGAAUCUUCCGCAAUGGGCGAAAGCCUGACGGAGCAACGCCGCGUGAGUGAUGAAGGUCUUCGGAUCGUAAAAAUCUGUUAUGAGGGAAGAACAAAUGUGUAAGUAACUAUGCACGUCUUGACGGUACCUAAUCAGAAAGCCACGGCUAACUACGUG